GCCGGGGGUCCGGGGCCCCAGGCCGGGGUGCUGUUGUUGGCAGGGCCUGGAUCUGGGACCAUGGAGGCUGGGGCUGGGGAUGCGUACAGAGACGUGAUAGGAUGGGCGGGGAGACGGUGAGCAGCCUGGAGGAGCCGAGGUUGUUGUCCGCGAGAAGAGCAACACUGUCCCCAGACGGCUUGAGCAGUGAGCUGACUCCUCUGGUCUUUUGAGCAAGAACCAACACCGCACCAGGUACUGCGGAGGAAGUCCCUGACCUGUUGUCGUCCCCAGUAUAACAGCGAGCGAACCGAGGUGGGAAUCCUCCAGGGCGGUAGGCAGAGGGGUGUGGCGCCCCCUGGCUGUGACCCUCCGUUACCUAAGGCUGCUGUGCAGAUUCAUAUUGCAGAUUCCAUUCUCAUUUGAGAAACAACUUCUUCAGAACAUAGUAGGCAUCAGACACUGCUGUGACUACUCAGGACACUGCAGUGACCAAAACAAAGAUCCCCGCCUCCGUGGAACUUACCUUACAGUGGAAUAAACAAUAAACAUACAGAGUGA